UCAGCUGCCAAGCACCAAUUGACUGAAAAUCUUGUACUUCAUACAACCGCCACAGAUCAAAGUUCAACGUAAAUGACCAUCAUGAUCCAGUUAUCGUCUACACAGCAGUCAGGGUUGCUGGACACUGGGUCAUUUUACCAGUCCCGUCGCUAAUCGUAGUGUGAUUUUAAAUUCAGGAUUCUAUCCUUAGACAUUGAGUAUUUGAUCUUGGAUAAAGGGCAUCUCCUUCCUUAAGCAGAUCUCUUUGUAAAGCUGUAUGUGCCACCAGGCAGAACAUGUAAAGUCUUCUGCGGAAGUUUUGGGGUAGGCUUCUGUUCAUUCAUUUAUCCCACGGGCUUUCACCGCUACACACCACGCAUUGUUCUGUCAUAAUCAACCAGGUGGCAACAGAUCCUGAGAAGAGUAUGACCAGUCACUAGUCUCUAGCAACUGGAUAGAGCUAAACUCAGAGAGUAAAUAACUAAAUGCAAUUAAAUUGCUGCUAUGGGGGAAGUGGUUGACCUCAAGGUCAGCAGUGACUCCAGAGGAUAAAAUUUUGAGUUUAAAGAGGAGUAGAAAAGGCAGACAAAGGAAGACCAUUCCAGUGAGAAGAAACGCUAUUUGCAAUAACAACUACAAAUGCGAGGAGUAGUUCCUGUGGCUGCAACAUAGGCCAUUAAUGAAGAAUGGGACCAAACAAUGAAAAGCCUCCUGUGAUAACCUAGUAGGUUUCUUGGUUCUCUUGCCAAUUUGGAAUCAUACAGGAUUUUAAAGAAGAGUUCAAUCUUUGUCAUCACGCAAAUAGUGUAAGAACGGCCAGUAGAAACAUUCCAGGAAAUUGUUCAAUCUCGUGAAGAAAGGCAGUUUUCAGAGUAAACAUUAAAAAUAUUUUUGCAGCCACAAUGUUCUGCUUUGACUCCCUGAUCCACCCUUUGCAAGUUAUAUGACCCUGGUAACAGUGGUUUGGAGUUAAGCACAUCUGAAUUGUCCACAAAAUCGCUGCAGUUCCACAUUUCACUAAGCUAAUAUAAGAAUGGCCUCAGGACAAGUUUUAGAUGAAGGGAACUGAGAUGAAACUAGAAAGAAGGUAAAAUUCUACUUUCUUAUUAAUGACACACUUAGAAUUAUCUCUAAUCUUUGCUUU